GACGAACGCUGGCGGCGUGCUUAACACAUGCAAGUCGAACGGAAAGGCCUGCUUUCCCUUGUGGAUUGCGGGUACUCGAGUGGCGAACGGGUGAGUAACACGUGAGUGAUCUGCCCCCAACUUGGGUAUAAGCCUGGGAAACUGGGUCUAAUUCCCGAUAGGACUGCAGGGUGGUGCCUGUGGUGGAACACGAUUUUCUAGUGGUUGGGGAUGAGCUCGCGGCCUAUCAGCUUGUUGGUGGGGUAAUGGCCUACCAAGGCGGCGACGGGUAGCCGGCCUGAGAGGGUGGACGGCCACAUUGGGACUGAGAUACGGCCCAGACUCCUACGGGAGGCAGCAGUGGGGAAUAUUGCACAAUGGGCGGAAGCCUGAUGCAGCGACGCCGCAUGGGGGAUGACGGCCUUCGGGUUGUAAACUCCUUUCGACCGCGAGGAAGCCACCUGGUUGGAAGGGUGGUGACGGUAGUGGUAGAAGAAGCACCGGCUAACUACGUG
rnacentral:rRNA from 1 species